AUGGGGAGAAACAGAGCAACAACUAUGCAUUCAUUUUUCAAAAGAAAAAGAGAUGACACAUCUGUUGAAGUUGAAGGUCUUUUGCCUCUUGAACCUCUACCAUUGGCAUUGCUUGAACAAGAGUAUCAUACUGAGAAUGAAGAACAACAUCAAACUGAAAAUGAAGAAGCAGAACAGCUGAGUGAAAAUGACGAACGACAAACAAAUGAGCCUAUCAUAUUUCGAGGUGUCGAGUUCUUGCAGAGAGAUCCUGCAUCGCGACCACAAAUUUGGCAAUAUCCACCUAAUGUGAGAGAUGAAGUGCGAAGAGCAUACAUGCAACUAGGUCCUAUGCAGCCAAAACUGAAUGAGUACAAACCUUCUGGAAAACCUGGGCAUCAACGGCGUUUCCAAUUCAGUUGGUUCAAGGAUUUUCCAUCAUGGUUAGAAUAUUCUACUAGCAGCCAUCGUGCUUAUUGUUUUUACUGCUUCCUAGGCAACAAAAACAUCAAGAAACGAAGUGGUUUUGAUGUGUUUUCUGCUCAUGGCUUUGACCAUUGGAAAAAAGUUAAAAAUGGAGAAAGGUGUGCAUUCUUGUCUCAUGUUGGAUGUAGUCCUUGUUCACACCACAACAAUACAGUGAGAGAUUGUCAUGCUAUCUUGGAUCAACCAACCCACAUAGUAAACGUUAUGGAGGUUCAAGACAACAAGGAGAAAGAGAGAGAUACUUUGCGGUUAAGAACAUCAAUUGCAGUUGUGAAGUGGCUCACCUUCCAGUCUUGUGCUUUCAGAGGCCAUGAUGAGACACCCGAGUCAAGAAAUCGAGGGAACUUCAUUGAAUUGAUAAAGCUUCUCGCAGAAUUCAAUCCUGAAAUCGCAGCUGUAGUUUUAGAGAAUUCUCCUAGGUGUAGCAAAUACACAUCCCAUCAAAUUCAACAGGAGAUAUUGAGUAUUUAUGCACUGAAGGUUAGGCAGUAUAUCCGCCAAGAGAUUGGUGAUUCAAAAUUCUCUAUUCUAGUGGAUGAAACAUGUGAUGCUUCUAAAAGAGAGCAAAUGGCAGUAGUGUUCAGAUUCCCCGAUAAAGAAGGUUUGUUACAAGAACGCUUCUUUGAUCUGAUACAUGUAAAGAACACCAAAGCACUAACAUUAAAGGAAGAGUUGUCUGCUUUAUUGUCCAAUAAUGGCUUUGAUGUUCAAAAUUUGCCCAAGUUGUUGAGAUUGCACGUCUACUUGCAAUUGAUCAGAUUGAGACAAGCAAAGGGGGGAAUUAGAUCAAAGCAUUAA
rnacentral:rRNA from 1 species